GAACUCAGGAAUCUCAAGAAAAAACUACAAUAAAAAAGAAAAAAAGUGUACUUGAGUAGAAUAAAACUAUCACCGAUUUUAAUAAGAAUUGAGAAAAUAUCUCCUACGCGACUGGUAUUACAUUUGUGAGGCAGAAAUAGGUUAACACAAAACAGAGAGGAGGGAAAGACGAUUAAAGAGGAAAAUCUAGUUUCUUUGCCUCCCGUUCAUCUUUCAAAUCUGUAAAACCCUAAUUCUCUUUUGCGACCAUGAGCUACUCUAAUUACGACUCCAGAUAUGGUGACUCAGGCUCCUAUCGCCAGCGUCGCAGUGACCUAAUGGGUCCACCUCAUAUAUAUUCUCGGCCUAUGGCUGGUGGAGCUGCGGCUAGCUACGGUCGUGGUGGGCCCGUUCCUUAUGGCGGUCCACAAGCACCGCCUAUGGACGCUGGUGCUAGAGGGAGUAGUGGUAUGGGUGGAUCUGGACCUGUUGAUGGCGGGUUCAAUGGGUAUCCACCUUUUGAAGGUGGUUUUUCAAGAGGGGCUGGUAUGGGCCGGGACAGUGGCUUUGGAGGUGACAGAGUGGCUAACGGUGGUAUGGGAGACCGGCCUGGGCGAUUUGGUGCAGGGUCAAACAACACUGGAAGUAGGAGUGGUGGAAGAGGAGGUAGGGAUUUUGAUGGAGGCUACAGUGGUGGACGUGGAGGUGGAAGGUUUAGUUCAGAUGGAGGCCGUGGUAGUAGUGGUGGGAGAGGAGGAGGUAGGCAUGGGAGCUCACGAGAUGAUCUAGACAACCUUACUCUUCCAAAGGUAGACUUUGGAAACUUGGUACCCUUCGAGAAGAAUUUUUAUGUUGAACAUCACUCUGUGAGGGCAAUGACUGAAGAGGAUGUUGCUCUUUAUCGUGCACGGCGUGAGAUUACUGUUGAAGGCCAUGAUGUCCCUAGGCCAAUUCAGAUGUUCCAUGAGGCAAACUUUCCUGAUUAUUGCCUCGAGGUUAUUUCAAGAUUAGGAUUUGUUGAGCCAACACCUAUCCAAUCACAAGGAUGGCCAAUGGCUUUAAAGGGCAGAGACUUAAUAGGGAUUGCUGAAACUGGUUCUGGGAAGACUUUGGCAUAUCUAUUGCCGGCUUUGGUCCAUGUCCGCGCACAACGGUUGGCACAUGGUGAUGGCCCAAUCGUGCUAGUAUUAGCACCUACGAGAGAAUUGGCUGUUCAGAUUCAAAAAGAAGCUGUCAAAUUUGGAUCGCGUGCCAACAUUAGUAGUACUUGCAUUUAUGGUGGUGCCCCAAAAGGACCUCAAAUCCGUGAUCUUAAAAGAGGAGUUGAAAUUGUAAUUGCAACCCCUGGUCGGUUAAUAGAUAUGCUGGAAGCUCAACAUACAAACUUGAAAAGAGUGACUUAUCUCGUACUGGACGAGGCUGAUCGAAUGCUGGAUAUGGGGUUUGAGCCUCAAAUCAGGAAAAUAAUUUCCCAGAUUAGACCAGAUAGACAAACCUUGUAUUGGAGUGCGACUUGGCCCAAAGAGGUUGAAAGCCUGGCUAGGCAGUUUCUACGCAAUCCCUAUAAGGUCAUCAUUGGGUCUCCAGACUUGAAAGCAAAUCAAUCUAUAAGGCAAAUCGUUGAAGUUGUCACAGAUUUAGAGAAGUAUAGAAGGUUGAUUGGGCUUUUGAAAGAAAUGAUGGAUGGAAGCAGAAUCCUAAUAUUUGUAGAAACAAAGAAAGGAUGUGAUCAAGUGACAAGACAGUUGAGAAUGGAUGGAUGGCCAGCUUUAUCCAUCCAUGGCGAUAAAAGCCAGGAUGAGAGGGAUUGGGUCCUGGCUGAAUUCAAAAAUGGCAGAAGUCCCAUAAUGAUUGCUACUGAUGUUGCUGCACGUGGUCUUGGUAGGAUCAAUAAUGUUUAGGAUUACGAUUUUUUAGUCUGUCCAUUUAGGUCUUUCACACUAGAGGAAACGAGUCUCCGGCUGCUGUCAACUUUCCUAGGUUAGUAAUCUGUGGUUUGGGUACAUAGGUUUGGGAUGCAUCUAGGGGCGCAUUAACCACAAUAACAGAAAAACAAUGUUUUUGCUCACGUGAGCAGGAGAAUAUAGGAUUUCUCGGAACUGUCAAUAGCAGAACAAUUAGUUGAACUUUGGUAGAAGUCAAUAUCAGAACAAUUAGUUGAAUUAAAUGCAGAAACUUAAUAGUAAUCCCUUUGUAACGUAUUAUGUGACCAAUUCUUCAGUAAUCUCAAAAAAAUUGUAGGGAUCUUUAAAUAGGAGAAUCCGCUCUUACAGAGUGAGCACUAUGAUGAUGUAAUAAUGUAGGGGAAUUUGAAUGUUUUCACACACUUCUAAAGGAGAGGAAUCCCUCGUAGAGCUAUAAGAAUUGUCCCCAAUGUAAAAUUUUUGGUUUAGUAGCACGUCUUAACUUCCCUUUUCUGGUCUGCAUAGGAUAGUUUGGUCACUAGGAAACCAGAGGUCGGUCAUUAAUUUGGACUAUCCGAAUACAUUUUUCAAGUUGGGAUAUAUUGGAAAAGUAUAGUGCUGAAAGAGGUUUCCAAUCAAGGUCAAUGAAAAGAUUGCCUUGAUUUGCGGUUGUUGGUAAAUGCUAAAGUUUUUAGAUAGGGGUCAAUCAGUUUGAGGCAACCUGGGUUUAAAAGUAGGUUAUACAGGCUGUAUGGAGGGAGUCCUAUUCUCAUUAGUGGAGUUUGUUUAUGCUGCCUACUUAGUUUGUCAUACAAUUUCAAGUGAUGUUUAAUGUCUUAUGGCAUAGCAUCCUUAUCGAAAAAUGUUUAAUGUCUGAUGACAAAGCAUCACACAAAAAAUUUAUAGCUUGUGUUCUUCUGAUUUGCCCCUAUAUCUUAUCCUCAGAAUAGGAAACCUGUGAGAUCUCUUAAAAAAAGAGAACUGAUGAUGAUGCGAAGGUCGCAAUGCUUCAUUUCCGUAGUAAAAUUAGGUGUACAGCUUCUUUUACAUAUGUGGGCUUACUUGAAUUUUUUACAUUGUAGUUAGUGGAAAUUGAAAUUUUAAUUCAUAAUACAGGCACUUGUGAGUAUUACACUCGUCACCCCAUCCUUAAAGCACACAAGCUAAUUGGAUGGCUGACUGUGUUUCUAUCUACACUUAGAAAGUUGUUGGGUGGUAAUGAUACUAUAGGGACCUAGUAUUAUUGCAGCACCCUGCACCCUGCACCCUACCCUGCCAAUCAGUGGAGCAUUCAAGCUGAAUGAAUGGCCAAUUGUUCUUUUCUACAUUAGAAAGUUUGGUGGUGGGUAUAAAGGGGAUACGUUGUCUCUUCGAGCUGAAUUGAUGUUGGUUUUUAAAAAUAUUGCCAACUGCCUUUGUGAAAAAUAGGUAUUAGAAGGAAAAUGGGAACUGGUAUAGUGAAAAAUAGGUGUCAAAUGAAGGUGUUAAACUUCAUGGUGCAAUUAGUGAAGAUCCAUUUGUUAUAUUUUAGGAAUUUUAAGCUUAGGGAGGCGGCUUUUGUUGAAUUCCUCGACUUUUUCCACAAAGGGUAUGUCUCAAGUCAUUUUGUCUAAAGUAAAGUUGAGGUUAACGUUGCCCAUCCACAGUUUUGGAGCUGGUUGCCCUGACAGCCCGGUAGACUCAUGCAAGAUUAUCGUGUCACUGGAUUUGAUUUUGGAAGUUGUGGUGGAGCUGCUCCUUAUCCCUGCCAGGUUAAGAUGUUAAGGACAUAAAGUGUGUUGUCAACUAUGAUUUCCCUUCAAGUCUUGAGGAUUAUAUUCAUAGGAUUGGCAGAACUGGACGUGCAGGUGCCACGGGAACUGCAUUUACAUUUUUCACCCAUGCAA